CCUACGGGAGGCAGCAGUGAGGGAUAUUGCGCAAUGGGCGAAAGCUUGACGCAGCGACGCCGCGUGGGCGAGGAAGGCCUUCGGGUUGUAAAGCCCUUUUGGCAGGGAAGAGCAAGGACUGUACCUGCAGAACAAGUCACGGCUAACUACGUGCCAGCAGCCGCGGUAAAACGUAGGUGGCGAGCGUUACCCGGAUUCACUGGGCGUAAAGGACGCGUAGGCGGUCGGACGUGUCGUCCAUGAAAGCCCCCGGCUUAACUGGGGAAGGUCGGGCGAAACUGUUGGGCUGGGGUGCAGGAGAGGGGAGCGGAACUACUAGAGUAGCGGUGAAAUGCGCAGAUACUAGUAGGUACUCCGAUAGCGAAGGCAGCUCCCUGGCCUGCCACCGACGCUGAGGCGUGAAAGCGUGGGGAGCAAAAGGGAUUAGAUCCCCCUGUAGU
rnacentral:rRNA from 1 species